rnacentral:rRNA from 1 species
UACGUAGGGGGCUAGCGUUGUCCGGAAUCAUUGGGCGUAAAGAGCGUGUAGGCGGUUCGGUAAGUCCGCUGUGAAAGUCCAGGGCUCAACCCUGGAAUGCCGGUGGAUACUGUCGGGCUAGAGUGCGGAAGAGGCGAGUGGAAUCCUGGUGUAGCGGUGAAAUGCGCAGAUAUCAGGAGGAACACCUAUUGCGAAGGCAGCUCGCUGGACGUUACUGACGCUGAGACGCGAAAGCGUGGGAGCA